rnacentral:rRNA from 1 species
GACGAACGCUGGCGGCGUGCCUAAUACAUGCAAGUAGAACGCUGAAGGAGGAGCUUGCUUCUCUGGAUGAGUUGCGAACGGGUGAGUAACGCGUAGGUAACCUGCCUGGUAGCGGGGGAUAACUAUUGGAAACGAUAGCUAAUACCGCAUAAGAGUAGAUGUUGCAUGACAUUUGCUUAAAAGGUGCAAUUGCAUCACUACCAGAUGGACCUGCGUUGUAUUAGCUAGUUGGUGGGGUAACGGCUCACCAAGGCGACGAUACAUAGCCGACCUGAGAGGGGUAUCGGCCCACCUGGGACUGAGACACGGCCCAGACUCCUACGGGAGGCAGCAGUAGGGAAUCUUCGGCAAUGGACGGAAGUCUGACCGAGCAACGCCGCGUGAGUGAAGAAGGUUUUCGGAUCGUAAAGCUCUGUUGUAAGAGAAGAACGAGUGUGAGAGUGGAAAGUUCACACUGUGACGGUAUCUUACCAGAAAGGGACGGCUAACUACGUG